GCAAAUGGUGAUGCAUUGAUGGAAGAUCCUUCUCUGUGGACCUCUCCUAGUACACCCAUGCCAGAGGAGUGUGCAGCCCAGAACCAUUGCCCACACUCUUCACUGGUGGGCUGUGAGCACUGAAGGGGGCUCUACAGUG